ensembl:lncRNA
UGUAACUGUAUCACGGCAUCACGAUGACUGAGCCAUCAGACGUGUUGGUUUGGUUGUGACUUUAGUGUGUCUCAGAUCACUGAAUAUCAAGCAGAGUCGGCUGUCAGCGUGUUUAUGAUGAUCUACUGCCAGCUGAAGAGGAAAGAAGCAUUGUGAAUGAAAAACACACGACUAAUGCAGACGCUUGACUUUAUAAACACCCAAGAACUAAACAAGAGAAGAGAAACAAAAGAGAAACAAAAGAAGAAGUCAGCUUUGGAUAACGUGACUAUCAUAACCAGGUCAGUGGAGUUAAUGUGGUCACUCUUGACUGAGAACAGUGGGUCAGACCUGAGCUCAGAGCAUGAGAACGGAAGGACGGUCCACACAGGAAAGAGCGUCUAAUGUUCCACACACAUGGCAGAAGACGGAGCGAGCAGAGCGUCAGAUCAUGAGUGAUGGAGGUCUGUCCGAGUGGCGCCGCAGUAUUGACUCGUGUGGAGUUAAAGAGGAGUGCUGUGACAGUGGAGUGUGAGGUAUCAGACGGACUCUCUGAGCUAUUGAGUGUCCUGGAUUUGGGAUUUGGAGCUUAACAGGUUUAAGUGCAUCAUUGUAACAGACCUGGAAUCUCUCCAGGUGAAUUAUCCACAGAUGGACGUGACCACAGCCAGCCAACAAACAUCAUUCUCCAGCUAACAGCUCCCGCUUCAUCAAUCAGCAGCAGCGCCGCUCCACACCGAGAGCCGUCACGCUCUUUAUGCUCACGAGAAAUGUGUGUGAGAAAUUUGCAGCCAUGCAAAACUUACUGUGAAAGAAAAAAGAAAAGAAAACUAGUAUUCAGUAAUAUUGCUGAUGACAUUAUGGGAUGAGAACAUAGUGAAUUGAACUGAGAUGCAUAAUGACAUUAUUGACUUCUCUAAAACUGCUUUACAGCUGAAAUUGAAUUUGAUUCACAAUUGAUGAAUUUUAUAUCAACACUGUUAUUUUCCUGCAAAUCUGUAUUUUAUAAAACACUAUAGAAAUAAAUAUAAUUUGAUAAUGUAAAAAAUUACUGUUUAGUAAAAGUUCCAAGCUGUCUUCUAACACAUAUAAAUAAAGUAGUUGAACAACGUUUUUGUUUCUAUCCAAAGUUUUGUUGAUCUAAGAGACUCUUAGAGUAAUCAAACGUGUCCAAGUAUUGUCCCAACUUUCCAAAUUGAGUCACAAACUGAACAAAUGUACAAAUUAUUUUACAGUUCCCAUCAUUCAUUGCAGCUUGAAAAAAAGAUUGCUGCCAGGCUUUUGUUUG